rnacentral:rRNA from 1 species
UUGCCUACGGGGCGCAGCAGUGGGGGAUAUUGCACAAUGGGGGGAACCCUGAUGCAGCGACGCCGCGUGGGUGAAGGAGCGUUUCGGCGCGUAAAGCCCUAUCGGCAGGGGAGAAGGAGGACGGUACCUGACUAAGAAGCCCCGGCUAACUACGGGCCAGCAGCCGCGGUAAUACGUAGGGGGCAAGCGUUAUCCGGAUUUACUGGGUGUAAAGGGGGCGCAGAAGGCAGCGAAAGCCAG